rnacentral:lncRNA from 1 species
CCUGAAAGUGAAAGCGAAGGUAAGUGUGAAAGUGAAAGCGAAAGUAAGUGUGAAAGCGAAAGUAAGUGUGAAAGUGAAAGUGAAAGUGAAAGUGGGGCUGUGUAGGGGUGAGGAAGGAGGCGCCGAGACCCAAAAUCUGUUUGCUGUCGGUGACAAAAUCCUGAAACUGAAAGCGAAACAGGAAGUGGAUGUGAAACAGGAAGUGGAUGUGAAGCAGGAAGUGGAUGUGAAACAGGAAGUGAAUGUGAAACAGGAAAUGAAAGUGAAAGUGGCUGCAUGGGGGUGAAGAAGGAGGCACCGAGGCUCGAAAGUUGUUGGUGAUGAUGAGGGCCUGAAAGUGAAGCCGAAAGUGAAACCAAAAGUGAAUGUGAAACAGGAAGUGGGCGUGAAACAGGAAGUGAGUGUGGAAACAGGAAGUGUGAAACAGGAAGUGAGUGUGAAAGUGAAAGUGGGCUCUGUGGGGGUGAGGAAGGAGGCACCGAGGCCCCAAAGUUGUUUGAUGUCAGGGAUGAUGAGAGCCUGAAAUUGAAAGUGAAAGUAAAGCAGGAAGUGAAUGUGAAACAGGAAGUGAAUGCGAAACAGGAAGUGGAUGCAAAACAGGAAGUGAGUGUGAAACAGGAAGUGAGUGUGAAAGUGAAAGUGGGCUGUGUGGGGGUGAGGAAGGAGGCACCGAGGCCCCAAAAUUGUUUGAUGUCGGGGAUGAUGAGGGCCUGAAAGCGAAAGUGAAACAGGAAGUGGAUGGGAAACAGGAAGUGAAUGGGAAACAGGAAGUGGAUGGGAAACAGGAAGUGAGUGUGAAACAGGAAGUGAGUGUGAAACAGGAAGUGAAAGUGAAAGUGGCUCUGUGGAGGUGAAGGAGGCGCCAGGGCCCCAAAUUAGUUUGAUGUUGGUGAAGAUGUGGGGCCUGAAAGCGAAAGUGAAACCGGAAGUGGAUGGGAAACAGGAAGUGGAUGCGAAACAGGAAGUGGAUGCAAAACAGGAAGUGAAAGCGAAACAGGAAGUGAAAGUGAAACUAAAGCGGAUGUAAAAGCGAAAGUAAAACCAAAUGUGGCAGCGUAAAGCGAAAAGGGCGAA